rnacentral:rRNA from 1 species
UACGUAGGGGGCUAGCGUUGUCCGGAUUUAUUGGGCGUAAAGAGCGUGUAGGCGGCCAGACAGGUCCGUUGUGAAAACUGGAGGCUCAACCUCCAGACGUCGAUGGAAACCGUCUGGCUAGAGUCCGGAAGAGGAGAGUGGAAUUCCUGGUGUAGCGGUGAAAUGCGCAGAUAUCAGGAAGAACACCCGUGGCGAAAGCGGCUCUCUGGGACGGUACUGACGCUGAGACUCGAAAGCGUGGGGAGCGAACAGG